CUCUCUACAUAUGUCCAUACAUGUAUAUCUGAUCUGUUUGUCCCUUCUUCUAUGUUCAAUCGAAACCCUUUUAUUGUUUUAUUAUAGUUAUCUAUUUGAUUUUCUUAUUUGUAAAAUAUAAAGAUUUUGAUUUGAUUUUCUCGGUAAUGUAUACAUAUGUGUAUGUGUGUGUAUGCAGUGUAUAGAAGUGUGAGAUGGCAGCUCUACUUUUAUCUUGUUAAAUCCAACAGAUUGAGUCCAAAAAAAGGUCCCCUACUUCCAUUCGCUGCAAAUCACGUGGAGCUCUCUUCGGCAUCUUUGUGUUGAUAGCCAUGCAUAUCCUUCUCUUUUCUCGCUGCAUCCAACAUUGUUUGGGAAGUAUAGUUCCCCUUUGGUCGUUGAAGUGACUCUUUUUGUGUUCUUUGUGUUCAUAUCAAGUAAUCUCUUGACAUGCUUUGCUCUACUUAUCAUAGUUUGAAUAUGGGAGUGGUGGAACAGUUCUGACAUGGAGGAGGAAACGCUGCUGAUAGGAAUGGGAAUCAAUUCAGAAGCACACUUUUGGAACUCCCUCGCUCUUUGAAGUAAGAACAAUGUGUAGGAAUCGAAGAACCUCAAACCCGUGAAGGAAGUAGAAUGGGAUGAAAAAAAUGAAGUUUCUACUUUUCUUAUUUUUUGCAAGGACUUCUCUUUGUAAAUUAAAACUGUAAUGAAGCUUGGAACUCUUUUGUUUAUUUUGGAUUUGGACUUGUAAAUUGUGUUUUGUAAAGGUUCCAAUGUAAUUAGUGAAACUAGAACAAACAUUGUAAUUGUUUUGAAAUCUUCUCUAGCCCAUUGAACAGGGAUAAAUAGUAUGUAAUUGUUUUGUAAACCGAUUUGCAUUUCAAUGAGAAAGAGAAUUAUUUUGAUGGAAUUCUGUGUAUGUUUGAGGGGUAUGUGUA